GACGAACGCUGGCGGCGUGCCUAAUACAUGCAAGUCGAGCGCAGGAAAUCGACGGAACCCUUCGGGGGGAAGUCGACGGAAUGAGCGGCGGACGGGUGAGUAACACGUAAAGAACCUGCCCUCAGGUCUGGGAUAACCACGAGAAAUCGGGGCUAAUACCGGAUGGGUCAUCGGACCGCAUGGUCCGAGGAUGAAAGGCGCUUCGGCGACGCCUGGGGAUGGCUUUGCGGUGCAUUAGCUAUUUGGUGGGGUAAUGGCCCACCAAGGCGACGAUGCAUAGCCGACCUGAGAGGGUGAUCGGCCACACUGGGACUGAGACACGGCCCAGACUCCUACGGGAGGCAGCAGUAGGGAAUCUUCCACAAUGGACGAAAGUCUGAUGGAGCAACGCCGCGUGAACGAUGAAGGCCUUCGGGUCGUAAAGUUCUGUUGUAAGGGAAGAACAAGUGCCGCAGGCAAUGGCGGCACCUUGACGGUACCUUGCGAGAAAGCCACGGCUAACUACGUGCCAGCAGCCGCCGUAA
rnacentral:rRNA from 1 species